rnacentral:rRNA from 1 species
GAUGAACGCUGGCGGCGUGCCUAAUACAUGCAAGUCGAGCGAACAGACGAGGAGCUUGCUCCUCUGACGUUAGCGGCGGACGGGUGAGUAACACGUGGAUAACCUACCUAUAAGACUGGGAUAACUUCGGGAAACCGGAGCUAAUACCGGAUAACAUGUUGAACCGCAUGGUUCAACAGUGAAAGACGGUCUUGCUGUCACUUAUAGAUGGAUCCGCGCCGCAUUAGCUAGUUGGUAAGGUAACGGCUUACCAAGGCAACGAUGCGUAGCCGACCUGAGAGGGUGAUCGGCCCCACUGGAACUGAGACCAGGUCCAGACUCCUACGGGAGGCAGCAGUAGGGAAUCUUCCGGAAAGGGCGGAAGCCUGACGGAGGAACGCCGGGUGGGUGAAAAAGGUCUUUGGAAUGGAAAACCCUGUUAAUAGGGAAGAAAAAAAGUUGAAGGAACUAUGGACGGCUUGACGGUACCUAAUCAAAAAGCCACGGCUAACUACGUG